UGGGGAAUAUUGGACAAUGGGCGCAAGCCUGAUCCAGCCAUGCCGCGUGAGUGAUGAAGGCCCUAGGGUUGUAAAGCUCUUUCGUCAGGGACGAUAAUGACGGUACCUGAAGAAGAAGCCCCGGCUAACUUCGUGCCAGCAGCCGCGGUAAUACGAAGGGGGCUAGCGUUGUUCGGAAUCACUGGGCGUAAAGCGCACGUAGGCGGAUCUUUAAGUCAGGGGUGAAAUCCCGAGGCUCAACCUCGGAACUGCCUUUGAUACUGGGGAUCUCGAGUCCGGGAGAGGUGAGUGGAAUUGCGAGUGUAGAGGUGAAAUUCGUAGAUAUUCGCAAGAACACCAGUGGCGAAGGCGGCUCACUGGCCCGGUACUGACGCUGAGGUGCGAAAGCGUGGGGAGCAAACAGGAUUAGAUACCCCCGUAGUCC
rnacentral:rRNA from 1 species